rnacentral:tRNA from 1 species
ACCUGGCUGGCUUAACUCGUAGAGCAUAGGACUCUUGAUCUUGCAGGCAUGAGCUCAAACCCCAUGUUGGGUA